rnacentral:lncRNA from 1 species
GUUUCCUUUUCUGUAGUCCCCUUCUGUGUCCGGUUCUGCUCCCUGGUAUUUCCUCCUUUCCUCUCCCCCCCUCUCUCUCUGGGUUCCCUUCCUCUGCCUGGGCCCUCUGUGUCUGCCCUUGGUCCCGUGUGCCUGCUGGCUACUCACCUCGGCUGCUCCUCUGGGAGUGUGAAGCUUACCUCCUCGCCGCUGCUCUUCUCACAGGAUCUGGUUGUUGUUCCUGGGACUGUCCAGCAGGUGGCGCUUGGAACUCCUGCUAGUCUGCACAGUGAAGAAAUUCAACUUACCUCUGUCCUGUCUGGAUCUUCUUUGCUUCCUUUGCCGCGGGAGGUUCCUCGGGCAUCGGCCCGUGAGUACAUUUCAGUCUCUUCGGUUGGGGGUCCCUCGCUGGGUGGGUUUCUGUCCGGGCUUAGGGGUUUUCAGGUUUAUGGGAGUGGGGUGCGCACGCUGGGGGGUCCCCUCUUUACAUAGUCGGGUUCGGGCGGCUGGGUCCUCGCUGCAUCCACAAGGGGUUCAGGCGGCCCCUGCGGUCACGGGGUUCCCCUCUCCUGGGACGAGCGUCCAUGGCAUCCCUACCUCGGUGUCAGGUGCCGCGGCGCCUGCUGUUGCAGAGGUGUCUCCAGCCUUGGGGGACCCCCCUGGGUGUUUCUGACAUGGCGCGUGAGUCCGCCUAUAUGUGUUGGUCAGGUUAGGAGAGGUACUAGUACCGGAGAUCCCCCAAAACAAAAAACACAUAAACAAAAAAAAAAGUCAAUAAAUAAUUAGUAGAAAAAAAAAUAAAAAUUGGGGGGCUUGCACUUGUGGUGGGAAGUUAGGGACAGGGUUUGGCGGGGGGGGGAAUUUGUGGAAGUUUUAUUCCCCCCCCGUCCCCAUGGAGGAGGCUCCUCUGUAGGUGGAGGAGGAUGCGAAAGAGUCCACCUCUAGGGGAGCCCAUCCCGUCUCCUGCUGCAUGGAGCGGGUGGUAAAUUGGGGCCCUUGGCUCGCCCGCUACAGGAAUCGUCGGGCUGCUGACAUCCGGUUAGGCGGGUUUGUGCAUGGUUUGUGGUUCCACCCACCCCCUUCCCUGCUUGUUAGGAGCCUUCGGUCGGUUCGGAAGUUCCCUCAGAUGGCUAGGGAAUCUGGGCAACAAAGUAUCUCUGGGUCGCGUGGGUGGUCCCUUUAAAAAACCCUCCACUACUAGACUCGUGGGUCUCCCCCCUGGGGGUGGUCCCCAAAAAAGGAGCAGGAAAAGUACCGUCUGAUUCCCAUUUGUCUUACCCCCGGGAAGGGUGGUGGGGGAGAGUUCGGUGACUAGUGACAUCUCCUCGGUACUCUGCUGAGUGUCUUCUGCGUCCUUUAACGCGGUGGCUGACGUGGUGGGGGCCGCGGGCCCGGGGGGGCCUUGUUGGCCAGGGCUGAGGUGGAAUCGGCGUUCCGUUUGCUGCCGGAGCUGUCACCAUCUUCUGGGGUGUUUAAAGACAGGUAUGGCGUGGAUAUGUGCCUCCCGAUGGGUGUUCCAUGUCCUGCUUUUACUUUGAAUGUUUUAGCAUGUUCUGGGACUGGGUGGUGAGGAAGGAGGCAGGGAUUGACUCCUUGCCGCACUGCUUUGUUGAUUUCCCUUGCGUGGGUCCUGUCGAUUCGCCAAACUAUGCGAUGCUGCUGCGGGUUUUGGGUGCGGUGUUCCAUCGGUUGGGGGUCCUGUUGGCACACGACAAGACGGUGGGCCCGGUUACCUGUCUCCACUUUCUGGGCAUUGAGAUUGACUCUAUGGCGGGGGAAUGCCGCUUGCCUAGGGAUAAGAUUUAAGGCUUACGGCGCGAGGUGGCCUUGGCCAUGGGGUGGCGCAAAGUUCAGCUGCGCUGCCUGCAGUCUCUCCUGGGUAAGCUGAAUUUUGCUUCUAGGAUCUUGCUUGUGGGGCUGGUCUUUAACCGGCGGCUGUCUGUGGCAACGGCCGGGGGUCUCCGGGCUCACCGUUUCUUUCGGCUCACUCGGCCGCUGUGGGGGGAAUUUUUUGCCGGUUUGGGACUCCUUCUUGACUGCAUAUAAUGGCCGGUCCUACGGGCAAAAAGGCCGGAGGUUUCUAAUGCCGACCUCCACCUCUUUCCGGACACGGCUGGCUUGGUGGGGUUUGGGGCCAUUCUGGGCUCUAGUUGGUGUGCUGCCGUGUGGCCGGACAGUGGGCGUGUCUCUGGGAUCACAUAGAAUCUGGCCUUUUUUGGAGCUUUUCCCCAUUUUAGUGGCGGCGGAGGUCUGGGGGGUUUUCAGGAUUGAAGGGUAGUGUUUUCACUGCAACAAUUUGGGGGUUGUGCAGGCCAUUAAUCGGCUGCCGGCCUCCCCCCUUCGGUGGUUCGCUUGCUUAGGCAGUUGAUACUUCGAUGUUUGUGUCUCAAGGUGUAUUAUAAGGCAGAGCAUAUACCGGGAGUUCACAAUGUGAUGGUGGAUGCUCUCUCUCGUUCUCGGUGGUCGGAGUUUCGGGCGGUCCCCCCACAGGCGGAUCUGGUGGGGACGCCUUCCCCGGGGGACAUCUGGUCGCUCGGUCAGGCAGAGUGAUGGAAUGGGUCCGUGGAUCGGUUAUCAAGGCCACCUGGACGCUAUGCUCCUGACAAGACUGGGUGGGGUUCCCCCUCUGGUCUGGCACCCUAUUUCGAUGCAUUUGCCUAUUCCCUGGAAUUCGUUGGGGCCAUGUACGUUGGGGAAUUGGUGAUUCCUAGUAGGCCAGGCAGUGGUGGGGUAUUGUUUGCCACCAUUCGACGCCCUGCGAUUCAUAUCACUAUAAGUAUUUGACAAUCACGGCUGUCAUAAUUUUUCCUUUGUGGUAUGCACGAUAUGCACGGGCCCUCUUUGGGUUAUGCGGAUGGGAUCUUUUCUUUCCCAUUCACAAUUCUUUGGGUUUUCACUCGUGUCUGAUGGUUCUGGGGAUUGACAGCAAGGAAUAGUGUGGCAUUCCUUUCGGUUUAGUGCUGCCUGUGAGGCUGUUAGGAUGGGUAUGUCAGCACACAUGGUGCAGUGAUCCGGGAGGGGGUAUGGUGAGAUGGCUCAGUGAAGUAAUGCUGGUUUCGUAGAAUUUGUUCAAACCUUGGGGGGUUGCAGGUUAAAUUCUCAGCGGCGGUGGCUCAACCAUUCAAUCCUUUGAGAUAGAUAAAUGAGUACCACUUCUUUAGGUAACAAUUGUUGGAAAAAGAAAAUAUCUGGAUGUAUUUUUCCUGGUUAUACUCCCAGGUGGCAUGCGUGUGUUCGUCCGGGAGGUGAGCUAUUGGGUUGUGCGCCUUCUGAAGCAGAGGUUCGGUGGUUUGGUGCCGGAGGUAUGAAAUGGGUUCGGCUCCUCCCGGAACAGGUUUCUGCUGUCCCACCUGUCCCUAAUGUUCGGGUUAUCCACCUGGGGGGCAUUGAGCUUGGGACGAUACCAAUGUGGUAUUUGGCGUCUGCCCCUAAGAGGGUAUUGGUGCGUGUUUUAGUUGUUUCGUGAUGCGUGGUGUUGGGUUCACUUUAUGACACUAUGUGUUCUGUUAUAUAUGUUCAGUUAUGGUUAUUUAUGUUUAACGUUUUGGUUACAGAAAAGAAGAGAGAUUAUUAAAAUAAAUUCUGGAUGUGUUAUACAGUAUUUAUCAUAUGUUAUAAAAAAUGUAAUUCCAAAAAUGAAAAACAAAAAUGAAAAAAACUUGAUUAGUCAGAGGUCAUUUCCCUAUCUUUUGCCAGCGUGCCCAUAAUCAGUGCAUGGUGCGCUGCCGUAUGAAGCAAUAAUUAGAGGGCCUCUAGGUGUGUUUGAGGGCAAGGGGAUUUUGGCUUGCCACGGGGUGUUUUCGCACACAUGGCAGCCAAAGAGUUUCUGGGUGAUGGAGGUCGGGCUCGACCUUUUUCGUCUUGCCAUGCAGGAAGUGGUGGAACAGGCCUUAGUUGGUUGUGGUGGGGCUCCCUGCUGAUUUUAGGUGUAAACCAGCGGGGUUUGUGGCAGUGAGCGUGUCCUUGCCAACAGGGUUGGGGAGCAGAUGGAAUGUCAGGAGAUGGUCAAGGUGGGUCUGAACCUCCCCUGCUCUGUAAGGUAAACUUUCAAGUUACUGAAUUAAACGUGCCCACCGAGCAAAAAGCCGGCUGGUGGUAGAGCAUUUAAGAUGAUGGGAAUUUUGGUUUGGACGAGGGGGGAGGUGAGACACCGGUGGAUAAAGUUUAGGUGCAUAGGCACCUGGUUAGGUUCGUUGGCAAGGACGGUUAUUUAAGUUGGAAGCUGUAGGGCAAUAAUUGUUGAUUUAUAUGUUAAUUAUGGUAUGCAUAUAUAUUUAUGUGUUUAUUUAUAUUUGAAUUAAAGGAAAAGAAUAAAGUUCCGAUGUGUCCUAAAGUUGUAAGUUUUAAUAAAUGCUGUGGCCUGUUUUAUCCAAUAUUCGUUGUCUGUCGUUAUUAGGGGGAUAAGUGGGGUAGUCUCUUUACUUUUAGUCGCACUACAUUCCCUGCUACGUACAUACAUGUAACAUCUACAUAGAAAAUAGAAAGGAUAGAAUAUAAACCGGUCCUUAGAAUGGCCGGACUAAUACGUUAGAGGCAGAGAAUGGUAAAGGGAUAGCCAAGGUCAAGGAAGCCAGAAAUACACAAAUACCUUUUAACAAGCCAAGUCAGGGGAACCAGAAAUCAGCAAAGUCAGGAAUAGCCAAGGUCAAAAUACCAGAAAUCACAAUAAUAGCAAGGAUAAACGGACUUUCGGGAACCAGGACAGGAAACCACGACAGGGCAAGGUACUGGCGUGCUUCAUGG